UGCUUAAUAAAAUUUAAAUUGUAUAAUUUAAACUGAAAAUUUCAGAUUUUGCUCAUAGUUGUUUUGAAUUAAGUUUAUUUAGGUUAAUUUUUUAAAAUUGUGAGUACGUGGUGAAAAAUUAGUCGUUGAAAUUUAUAUCCGUUUGAUUAUUCUGUUUUCAUUUUACAUUUAAAGUUAUGAUAUUUUAAAUGGUUUUAUAUCAUUAUGAUUUGUAGCAUUUCUAAUAGGGUUAAAGAUACCCUAUUUUAGUAAGUUUGUUAUAAUAUUUGUUAUCAUGUGUGUUUGAUUAAUGUUUGUGAUAAUCUAUUAAAUAUUUAGUAUUUAAUUAUUAUUAAAUGAGUAAUUUUAAUAUGUUAUGUUAUUUCUCAAGUUUUGUCCGUCUGUUUAUUAAAAACAUUUCUAAAUUUAAAUUUAUUUAGUAAUACCUGCCCCAUGCUUUUGUAAAUGGCCG
rnacentral:rRNA from 1 species